UCUCUCUCUCUCCUGUUAACUCUAAUUAUUUCAGCAAUUCCUCAAACCAAUUUCCCGCAAUUUCUCAAACCAAUUUCAUCAACACUCUCUCCUCUAAUCCUCUCUCUCUCUCACGGCGGGAAGGAGACGACGGGAACGAGAAAAGAAAAUUCCGAUUGCAAUCUGUAACUCUCUCUCUCGCGGCGGCUCCGACUCCAUUGGCACAAUUUCUUUCUGACGUCAUUAACAGGAUGGUGACUAGAGGACGAGCUGGCAAACGUGGCCGAGGGCGGGGUCGGGGGUAGAGUAGAAGUUUGCACCUUAGAGAUGAGAAUGAGGAAUUAGUGGGAGAUCACUUACCACAACCUCAAGAUAAUCCAAGUUCUAAUCCAAGUGAAGAGAUGCGUGGACAAAGUAUCUCAUCUCGUAUUCUUCCAAAAGGUUGGUGAAAUAAUACCUUCAAGAUUUGAAAAUGAACAAAAUACAGGAUAAAGUGAAGAUAUUAUAUCACAUGGACGUCGACGGGAACCCAAUAAUGGAGCUCAGAUCCCAGAUCACCCAACUAAAAGGAUAAAAGUGAGAGUGGUCAACAAUUGGUAAUUUCAAAGCUUAUAAAAAUUGAGUUUAAUAUAUUCAUAAAUAAUGUUAACUCUAUUUCUUAAUUUUAUAUAUUUUUUAAAUUUAUUAUGUCAAAAUAGAUUUAUUAAAAGUGGUAUUACACGAAAUCCCACAAAUGAUAUUAAAAGCAUUUUCACUGAAGCAUGGCAAGAUAGCACGCAGUGUCAAAAGCAUCUAAAGAUUUGCUAGGGGUCUCUUCAAGGUAAUAAAUACUAUUUAUAUUUAAUCCAAUUUAUUCAUUGUUAAAUUACAUAGACAUAUUUUUGUAAUAAUUUAAUGUGAUUUAUUGUUUUGAUAUGUGAUAGUUGAGGUACUGGUGGGAUAAUCUAACUGACGGGAAAAUGAGGAAUGUGUGGAAUAAAAAUGCAAGUGAUCGAUUUAAAGAGAUCAUAUACGAAGCUAAGCAAAAAGCACCGAAUGAUGCUCACAAACAGUUAGGUAGAGAACCAAAGAUGAGUGAUAUGAUAGAUAGAGGUCCUUAUUGGUUUAGUAAUUAAUUAUGGAAUGAGCUAGUUCAGAAUUGGACCUCAAAAGAUUAUGUAGGAAAAAGUUGAACUGUCCGAAAAAAUCAUUUGGCUGAAAAAGCUAGUUCGGUAACAAAACAUACUGGUGGUUCUAUUCCUGUAGGGGCACAUAGGCAAAAAAUGGUAAGUUUUUAGAUAUCUUUUAUACAAUUUUUUGACAUGUGAAAUAAUAUUGUUCUGUAAACUAUAGGCAAAAGAACUUGGUAGAGAAGUGAUUGAUCUUAGGUAUUUCAAAUAUGUCAUAGAAAAAACAAAGAAUUGGGGAGUUUAUCGACAAUAAAUCCAAAAGAAUUAGUGUAAGUAUAAUUUGUCAUUGGUAUUUAAAUAUUGGUUAGUAUAUAUGUUGAUAAAUUUUGUUAGACUUUUAUUACAUAAAUGUUCCAUUGUAUCUAAUGUACUUGCACAGGAAAAAUACCUUGCAAAAAUUGGUUGUACUGAUGUUUCUUCCCAGUCUUCAUUUGAUAUCUCAACUUGGUAUGAUAUCACUAGAGGUCCUUCUAAAGGAUACUUAUAUAGAUUUGGAAGUAGCUCCUCAUCUACAAGUGCAAGUUCAGUCAAUGUUACUCUUAAAGCAUCUGAGGAGAAGAAGAAUUUUAUAUGGAUUUUUGGAUAUGCGCUCUAAUACUACAAAGUUGGGGAAGAAGAAUUUUCAAGAUAAGAAGAAGAAAAUAGAAAAUUGCUUGAAAUUAUUCUUGAAGAAGCUCGAGAGAUGGAGGAAGAGGCUCGAAAGAGGGAGGCAAACCUACAAGAAUUAGUUCGAAAACUACUUCAUGAUGUGGGAUACACAAACCAUCAAUUUGCUGGUGGGUCUGGACAUCAGGAGCAACAACAUUUUAGGAAAGAUCAUUAAUUUAUUUUUUCUGUUGGUUGUUUAUGACUUAGUUUAUGUUGAGUUUUUGUAUUUUGACUUACGUUUGUUGAUAUGGGAGUGUAAACAUUGAUAUUAUUUGGUAGU